rnacentral:rRNA from 1 species
UACGUAGGAGGCGAGCGUUAUCCGGAUUUACUGGGCGUAAAGCGCGUGCAGGCGGUCUGGUAAGUUGGAUGUGAAAGCUCCUGGCUCAACCGGGAGAGGUCGUUGAAUACUGCCAGACUCGAGGACGGUAGAGGAGAGUGGAAUUCCCGGUGUAGUGGUGAAAUGCGUAGAUAUCGGGAGGAACACCAGUGGCGAAGGCGGCAUCCUGGACCAACACUGACGCUGAGGAGCGAAAGCCAGGGGAGCAAACGGG